rnacentral:rRNA from 1 species
UACGUAGGGUGCGAGCGUUGUCCGGAAUUACUGGGCGUAAAGGGCUCGUAGGUGGCCAAUUAAGUCAGGCGUGAAAUCCCCAGGCUCAACUUGGGAACUGCGUCUGAUACUGGUUGGCUUGAAUUCGGGAGAGGGAUGCAGAAUUCCAGGUGUAGCGGUGAAAUGCGUAGAUAUCUGGAGGAAUACCGGUGGCGAAGGCGGCAUCCUGGACCGAGAUUGACACUGAUGAGCGAAAGCCAGGGGAGCAAACGGG